rnacentral:lncRNA from 1 species
GCGAGGCCAGCUCGUAGGGGGCUGGGCGGUCAGCGGGGUCAAGGGACAGCCACGCUGGGACGGAGGACGGGGACAGGGGAGCCCCUGCGGCGCCACUUCUUCCUCUCCGAGUCCUGUCUGCCCUUGAUGGAGCCACUGGUGGGGUUACUUGCUGGCGGUCGGCCACUUUCGCCCCUCCCUCGCCAGCCCGCCAGCUCCCUAAGGUUUUGUGGUUUUUUGUCACCACCACACCUCAGUGUUGAGCUAAGUGAGGACGUCCCCCCAGCAAAUGUAUUGGACGGAAGGAAACGCUGUGCGGGAGGAGGCGGAGGAAAGUAGGCCACCCGGGGCUCAAGUGGUUUGUUGAUCUGCCUGAAUGUCUCUGCAUGUGGCCCCACAUCUCUCCUC